rnacentral:rRNA from 1 species
AGUGAACGCUGGCGGUAGGCCUAACACAUGCAAGCCGAACGGCAGCACAGUAAGAGCUUGCUCUUACGGGUGGCGAGUGGCGGACGGGUGAGGAAUACAUCGGAAUCUACUUUUUCGUGGGGGAUAACGUAGGGAAACUUACGCUAAUACCGCAUACGACCUACGGGUGAAAGCAGGGGAUCUUCGGACCUUGCGCGAUUGAAUGAGCCGAUGUCGGAUUAGCUAGUUGGCGGGGUAAAGGCCCACCAAGGCGACGAUCCGUAGCUGAUCUGAGAGGAUGAUCAGCCACACUGGAACUGAGACACGGUCCAGACUCCUACGGGAGGCAGCAGUGGGGAAUAUUGGACAAUGGGCGCAAGCCUGAUCCAGCCAUACCGCGUGGGUGAAGAAGGCCUUCGGGUUGUAAAGCCCUUUUGUUGGGAAAGAAAAGCAGCAGGUUAAUACCCCGCUGUUCUGACGGUACCCAAAGAAUAAGCACCGGCUAACUUCGUG